AUUGAACGCUGGCGGCAGGCUUAACACAUGCAAGUCGAGCGGGGUGAUGGUGCUUGCACUAUCACUUAGCGGCGGACGGGUGAGUAAUGCUUAGGAAUCUGCCUAUUAGUGGGGGACAACAUCUCGAAAGGGAUGCUAAUACCGCAUACGUCCUACGGGAGAAAGCAGGGGAUCACUUGUGACCUUGCGCUAAUAGAUGAGCCUAAGUCGGAUUAGCUAGUUGGUGGGGUAAAGUCCUACCAAGGCGACGAUCUGUAGCGGGUCUGAGAGGAUGGUCCGCCAAACUGGGACUGAGACACGGCCCAGACUCCUACGGGAGGCAGCAGUGGGGAAUAUUGGACAAUGGGGGGAACCCUGAUCCAGCCAUGCCGCGUGUGUGAAGAAGGCCUUAUGGUUGUAAAGCACUUUAAGCGAGGAGGAGGCUCUUUUGGUUAAUACCCAAGAUGAGUGGACGUUACUCGCAGAAUAAGCACCGGCUAACUCUGUGCCAGCCGCCGCGGUAA
rnacentral:rRNA from 1 species